UACGUAGGUGGCAAGCGUUGUCCGGAUUUACUGGGCGUAAAGAGCGCGUAGGCGGCUCGUUAAGUGAGAAGUGAAAGCUCUGAGCUCAACUCAGAAACCGCUUUUCAUACUGGCGAGCUAGAGUGAUGCAGAGGUGGAUAGAAUUCCCGGUGUAGCGGUGAAAUGCGUUGAUAUCGGGAGGAAUACCCGUGGCGAAGGCGGUCCACUGGGCAUCAACUGACGCUGAGGCGCGAAAGCGUGGGUAGCAAAC
rnacentral:rRNA from 1 species